CAGUUCACGGUGACAAGAGGUCUCCCAGCUCUCUGCAGCGCACCGUGCGAGGGAACUGUGUGACCACUAGAUGAUGCCAUUACUCUGCCAUAACUAACAGGCUGGCCAGCCAAGCCUAGGUCCUGACUCCCUAACCCUUCCCGUGAGUAACUGAGAUACAGCUCUGGUCAAAACACUUCAAACUCCUAAUUUCCCCAGCUUAAGGACUUCUUUCCCCUAUUUCUGUGGCAGCAGUGGCUGGAGAGGAAAGGGAAGAUGCUAUUUGGUAAAACAAAGGCACCAGUGGGAAUGAACCGUGGGGAAGGUCGCACCUGAACCAGUGAAGGUGCACCAACAAUGAGUGUAUCUACUGUCCUGCUGUAUAGUGUCUGACACGGGAACACAAGUGGUAGGAGAUUGCAAAUAUGGGAACGAACAACGAUAUACAUAGGGGAAGGUCUUUGAAAAUGGCAGUGAUUUCUCUGGGCAAAAUUACACAGUUGGUGGCCACUGAACUGAAAAGAAUCAUGAGAUGUCACCUUGUCUGUUCUCCAGGAAAGGGGGAUUGCUCUGGAACUAGGCAGAUACAAGUGCCAAUGCUGAAAUAAAUCAAACAGCUGAGAGGAAUAAGUGAAUCAGAGACAGAUUGCACUCAUCUCAUCCUAGGGAGAUCACUGAACAGCUGGGCAAGACAAGAAGAUGUCAGCACAUAUGGACCUGGCCUUUGUAGCUGCCCAAGGUCAGUGCCUGCUCCUGAUGCAGCUGCUGUUGCCUGAUAAGGUGUGUAAGGGGGGAGCAGAAAGCAGCCAGGCAGAGAAGAGACUCAGGAAAACCCCAUCUCAGUCCUAUCUGACACUGAGGCCUGAAGGCUGGACUUGUUAUUCCAUGCUCUGAUGUGCAAGAGCAGAGUGUUAGGUGAUUUUUAGGGAAGGAAGGAAACAGAUGAUUAGACAUAUCAAAAGAACUGAUAUGGCAGUGCUAAAGGGAUGGGCAGGGCUGCUUGCAGGGCAGCAAGGAGCAUAUCUAGUAACACAAGCUUAGCUGUAUGGCAGGUAGAGCUUAGCUGAUCCAGGAGGAAGAAUAAAUCAAAUGGAUGAUUUUAUUCGCCCUCUAUUCAUUCCAUAUUUGUCAGCAUAGCAGAGAUAUGAAAAUGGGAAGGGGGAAGAUUAUUAAGCUGUGCAAGAUGCUGAGCUCUUUUGAGAAUGUGGCUCCUAUCAGUGGUACUGAACUUGCACUGUUUUGGGGACCUGGCCUUCUGAUCAAGUGCUGACAAUUCAUGCUGAAUAUUCCCUUAAAGUGACAAAGUUCUUUAAACCAGGGGAAAAAGAAGUACCAGCAUUAACCAUUAAAUUCACAGCUAUUCUAGUAGAAUGAAACUUUGAAGAAAUCAGUAAAUUUCCACAGAGUUUUCAAUAUGAGCCAUGAAAAUGGUACGUAAGUGUGAUAGCGCUUGGAAGGGCAGAAAUGUACUAGAUUCCACUGUUUGCCAUGGCAAAAGAAGGUGAAGUUCGAGUAACAGCAAAUACCAUGGGUGCAAGAUUACUCGUGUGCUGCUCGUGUGUCUUAAUCUGAUUCUGUUUGCAACAAACCACUGUGAUAAAUCUCAGUUCUUAGAACUGCUCAUCACUACCUCUGCAAAUCUUUCCUGGAGAACUGCUUUGCACUGUGAAAAUUAAUUACUGCCUGCAAUUGCAUUGUGCAAAUUCCUUAUUUGUUCAGCCCAUUUAGGCGUGCUUUCUUGUAGAAUGUCACAGCACACUGUUCCUUCUCACCAAGAAAAAUACAACUGUCGCACUGUCAAAUAACUUUUUUCUCCAACAAGCAAAAGAAGAAAGCAAAAUAAAGGAUCAGUUUCAGACCAAGAAAAGUACCCCUGGAAGUAGGCUGGAGGAAAUUAAUUACUUGUCAGCAUCUCCCUCAGAUCUGCAUAAAGUAGAAAAGGUGCCUGUUUGGCUUUGUUCUGCUCUUUGUAUUGCACUACUCUACUCCUUUCCCAACAAUGUCUAUCAGCCUGGCAUCUGAAUGCCUGCUAGAUGUUGGUACAUCAGGCUGGCUCAAUCAGGUUCUCCGCAGGGAUAAUUCAGCAUGACUCAUUUGUAGCUGUUGUGUUUCUUCUGAUUUCUGUUAUAUUAGAUCCAUUGCUUUUUACCUUGGCCUUGGGGAGAGGAGUAUUAGCAUGCUUUUCUCUCUGUGUGCAGGCUGAUGAUGGCUGUUAGCAUAUGGAUGUGCUUUUCAUUCAGCCAGUCACACAUGGGGACAGAUGUGAAAACCCAGAGGUAUACCCAGACAGAGGCAUAUAAUCCUUGAGUGCAGAAUUAGCCAUGUGUGCACGUACAUAGGCUUACGGAUAUGAAUAGAUGCAGGGAUAUGAAAACCACAUCUCAUGUCUGACCAUGUAUGGACACAGUCCUUACAGUCAUCUCUAGCAAGACUGCUUUCUUGCUCUUCCUUUCUCAGCUACAUGUGCAUGGGGAUAUAAAAGUGUGUGGCAGAGAGACAGUCUGCUCUGGGGGAUGGUCCCCUAGGUGCUGAUGGGUUGCAUACAGGAGCAAAGCCGUCAGCCACGGCCCCAUCCCUUCAGGAAAGAUGGGGUGUUUGGUUGCUGGCAGCACGCUUAUAUCACAUGGCCUUUGACAGGUCACUGCUCCCUGGAGAGCAGAUACAUAAUGCAGGAAUGUGCAGUCGCUGGAGGGCUCAUGUGGUUCUCAUCAGCAUCCCAACCCUCAGCGGGUGGGACUGCUCUCCCACACAUAGCUUUCUAGUGUGUCAGCACCCCUGCAUGAAGCCAUAGGCUGCCUCUGCUCAUCUUCCUCGGCUGGCCUGUGUUGGUGGAGUUUACAGCAGGUCGGAUGCUGUGCCUCCUUGAGUCACAUAGUGACAGAAGCUCUUGCUUACUUGCCAGAUUUUCUCUCCCCUAGAGCGUCUCUUAAGUUUCCACUUUGAUUUUCUGGCCAGCUUUCCCUUCUUUGCCCUGUUAGGACGACCCUAUUUACCCCACUCCCACAUCUACUCCCUGGCCUGGCAAGGAGCAUGUUGAACUUUAGCUCUCAGAGCCACAGUCUGUCCAGCUCCGAACACAAAAGUUUGUAGUCCACACUGCCCAGAGUAACCCUGCGGUGCUUUGUCCUGCUGGUCUGUUAUUGCAGUGAAUUCUGUCAGAGCAAAGACUUUAGAAAAUAUAUCUUUUUUUUUUUUAAAUUAAGUUUUUCCUGCUGCUUAUGGACCUUUUUGCUACACUCUCACCAUAUAUUUUACUCUUUUAAAUUAGAUGCAGCUAGGAUUUUUGUUAUUGAGGUUCCCUUUAAAGUGACUAGAGAAAGACAGGUUCCUUCACAGAGAAAUGAGAUUUUUAUUGGACUGAAUCACCUGCUGGCCCUCUGGGUAAUGAGGGGAGGUUAA